GAUGAACGCUGGCGGCGUGCCUAAUACAUGCAAGUCGAGCGGCAACAUGCGCUUCACUUUGCGCGGAACGCAAAGGAAUCUAGAGGUUAGAUGUUAGAUUUUAGAAUAGCUACAGGGAGCAGAAUUCUAGAAUCUAAAAUCUAUAUUCUAGAUUCUAAUACGUAACACGCAGUGUGAAGUGUGAUGGCGAGCGGCGGACGGGUGAGUAACGCGAGGAAUCUACCCAAAGUGAGGGAUAACUGCUCGAAAGAGUAGCUAAUACCGCAUAUGAUCUAAGGACUAAAGACUUCGGUCGCUAUGGGAAGAGCCUGCGUUUGAUUAGCUAGUUGGAGGGUAAUGGCCUACCAAGGCACGAUCAAUAGCUGGUUUGAGAGGAUGAUCA
rnacentral:rRNA from 1 species